GACGUAGGUGGCAAGCGUUGUCCGGAUUUACUGGGCGUAAAGAGCGCGCAGGCGGUCGUUCAAGUCGCGUGUGAAAGCCCCCGGCUCAACUGGGGAGGGUCACGCGAUACUGAUCGACUGGAAGGCAGGAGAGGGUAGUGGAAUUCCCGGUGUAGUGGUGAAAUGCGUAGAUAUCGGGAGGAACACCAGUGGCGAAGGCGACUACCUGGCCUGUUCUUGACGCUGAGGCGCGAAAGCUAGGGGAGCAAACGGG
rnacentral:rRNA from 1 species